AGGAGCAUCGCCCCGCUCCGGGCCCCUCCAGCCCCGCAGCCCCUCCCCGACUCCACGCUGCCGGGUGGGAGCCCCACGAGCACGCGACGGGACCCCACGGUGCUGGAGUGCGGAGCGCAAUCUCGGCUCGCAGCCCAGUUCUGUGACAGAUCCAGCGGGGCGGUGAGUGAGCGGGCUUGGAUAGCGAAGCGCAGCCUGUCUAAGCGAGACGUGCUCGGACCGCAACCCCCGUCUCGAGCAAUGACCCGACACAGCGCUGGCUGCUUGUGCGCUAUUUCACCCCACACAGCCCGCUGGUCCCAGUGCCUCGGGACUUUGUCCUUAUGAGCUGGAAGGAGCUCUCCUGGGUGCUCCCUGGCUGCUGCUGGGAGCUGACAGCCCCUUCUUGCCUGUUACUGGGAUCUUAGGGUUAGACCCACAUCUGAGUGACACCAGCUGGUAAGAAGUGCUACCCCUGCACCAGCACUGCAACAGCACAGCUGCCUGCGCUGGCAUGUGGAGCUCAUGACCAACAGAACAACAUUACUCUGGACAUCAUCUUUUUCUAAACAGUGCUUCAGCAGGAUGGAGAGGGGUUGGGUCAUCUUCAGACAAACUGUUUGGAGAUUAAUUCCCCAUCACAGGGGUUACACCAGCCAAGUUCAGGCAGAGCGGCACUGGAGUUUUGACAGAACUCAGGGUUAUUUGCAGCCACUUUUCUCCAUCGAGGCCAACAUGGUAGGUAAGGGUGAAAGCAGAAUUCCUGCCUAAAUAAGUGGGCAGGGAGAAGGGAGGCUGGAUUUCCUGAAGCAGCGCUGGACAUAGAGAUCAUUCUCCUCUGCACUGUUUAACUACUUCAGCUUGCUUUCUUCACCUGAAAUCUUCGCAUGCGUGUUCAGCAAGUUGCAGAGCAGUGUUUCAAAGAGAAGCAUCUCCAGCAUCUGGAUUGGAGGGUGUCAUUUUUCCACUGUUUUUAAAAGUGUCAGUGGAGCACUGGGGUCCCUGUGCCCAAGCUUCUGCAGAGAGCAGUGGUGUCCUCAGCUGCUCAGACU
rnacentral:lncRNA from 1 species